CCUACGGGAGGCAGCAGUGGGGAUAUUGCACAAUGGAGGAAACUCUGAUGCAGCGACGCCGCGUGAGGGAAGAAGGUCUUCGGAUUGUAAACCUCUGUCUUUCGGGACGAAGGAAGUGACGGUACCGAAAGAGGAAGCCACGGCUAACUACGUGCCAGCAGCCGCGGUAAUGCGUAGGUGG
rnacentral:rRNA from 1 species